UACGUAGGGUGCAAGCGUUAAUCGGAAUUACUGGGCGUAAAGUGUGCGCAGGCGGCAUUGCAAGUCGAGUGUGAAAGCCCCGGGCUUAACUUGGGAAUUGCGCUCGAAACUACGUGGCUGGAGUGUGGCAGAGGAAGGUGGAAUUCCACGUGUAGCGGUGAAAUGCGUAGAGAUGUGGAGGAAUACCGAUGGCGAAGGCAGCCCCCUGGGAUAACACUGACGCUCAUGCACGAAAGCGUGGGGAGCAAACAGG
rnacentral:rRNA from 1 species